UACAGAGGUCUCAAGCGUUGUUCGGAUUUAUUGGGCGUAAAGGGCGCGUAGGCGGCGGGGUAAGUCGGGUGUGAAAUCUCAGGGCUCAACCCUGAAACUGCACUUGAUACUGCUCUGCUUGAGGACUGGAGAGGAGACUGGAAUUCACGGUGUAGCAGUGAAAUGCGUAGAUAUCGUGAGGAACACCAGUGGCGAAGGCGAGUCCCUGGACAACUCCUGACACUGAGGCACGAAAGCUAGGGGAGCAAACAGG
rnacentral:rRNA from 1 species